GAUGAACGCUAGCUACAGGCUUAACACAUGCAAGUCGAGGGGCAGCAUAGUCUUAGCUUGCUAAGGCCGAUGGCGACCGGCGCACGGGUGAGUAACACGUAUCCAACCUGCCGUCUACUCUUGGACAGCCUUCUGAAAGGAAGAUUAAUACAAGAUGGCAUCAUGAGUCCACAUGUUCACAUGAUUAAAGGUAUUCCGGUAGACGAUGGGGAUGCGUUCCAUUAGAUAGUAGGCGGGGUAACGGCCCACCUAGUCUUCGAUGGAUAGGGGUUCUGAGAGGAAGGUCCCCCACAUUGGAACUGAGACACGGUCCAAACUCCUACGGGAGGCAGCAGUGAGGAAUAUUGGUCAAUGGGCGAAAGCCUGAACCAGCCAAGUAGCGUGAAGGAUGACUGCCCUAUGGGUUGUAAACUUCUUUUAUAAAGGAAUAAAGUCGGGUAUGGAUACCCGUUUGCAUGUACUUUAUGAAUAAGGAUCGGCUAACUCCGUGCCAGCAGCCGCGGUAAUACGGAGGAUCCGAGCGUUAUCCGGAUUUAUUGGGUUUAAAGGGAGCGUAGAUGGAUGUUUAAGUCAGUUGUGAAAGUUUGCGGCUCAACCGUAAAAUUGCAGUUGAUACUGGAUAUCUUGAGUGCAGUUGAGGCAGGCGGAAUUCGUGGUGUAGCGGUGAAAUGCUUAGAUAUCACGAAGAACUCCGAUUGCGAAGGCAGCCUGCUAAGCUGCAACUGACAUUGAGGCUCGAAAGUGUGGGUAUCAAACAGGAUUAGAUACCCUGGUAGUCCACACGGUAAACGAUGAAUACUCGCUGUUUGCGAUAUACAGCAAGCGGCCAAGCGAAAGCGUUAAGUAUUCCACCUGGGGAGUACGCCGGCAACGGUGAAACUCAAAGGAAUUGACGGGGGCCCGCACAAGCGGAGGAACAUGUGGUUUAAUUCGAUGAUACGCGAGGAACCUUACCCGGGCUUAAAUUGCAGAUGAAUUACGGUGAAAGCCGUAAGCCGCAAGGCAUCUGUGAAGGUGCUGCAUGGUUGUCGUCAGCUCGUGCCGUGAGGUGUCGGCUUAAGUGCCAUAACGAGCGCAACCCUUGUUGUCAGUUACUAACAGGUUCCGCUGAGGACUCUGACAAGACUGCCAUCGUAAGAUGUGAGGAAGGUGGGGAUGACGUCAAAUCAGCACGGCCCUUACGUCCGGGGCUACACACGUGUUACAAUGGGGGGUACAGAGGGCCGCUACCACGCGAGUGGAUGCCAAUCCCAAAAACCUCUCUCAGUUCGGACUGGAGUCUGCAACCCGACUCCACGAAGCUGGAUUCGCUAGUAAUCGCGCAUCAGCCACGGCGCGGUGAAUACGUUCCCGGGCCU
rnacentral:rRNA from 1 species